GAGCGUUGUCCGGAAUCACUGGGCGUAAAGGGCGCGUAGGCGGCGCGGAUAGUCGGCGGGGAAAGCCCGGAGCUCAACCCCGGGUCGGCCGUCGAUACUUCCGGGCUUGAGCACUGUAGAGGCAGAUGGAAUUCCGGGUGUAGCGGUGGAAUGCGUAGAGAUCCGGAAGAACACCGGUGGCGAAGGCGGUCUGCUGGGCAGUAGCUGACACUGAGGCGCGACAGCGUGGGGAGCAAACAGG
rnacentral:rRNA from 1 species